AUUGAACGCUGGCGGCAGGCUUAACACAUGCAAGUCGAGCGGGGAAGGGUAGCUUGCUACCUGACCUAGCGGCGGACGGGUGAGUAAUGCUUAGGAAUCUGCCUAUUAGUGGGGGACAACAUUCCGAAAGGAAUGCUAAUACCGCAUACGCCCUACGGGGGAAAGCAGGGGAUCUUCGGACCUUGCACUAAUAGAUGAGCCUAAGUCAGAUUAGCUAGUUGUUGGGGUAAAGGCCUACCAAGGCGACGAUCGGUAGCGGGUCUGAGAGGAUGGUCGGCCACACUGGGACUGAGACACGGCCCAGACUCCUACGGGAGGCAGCAGUGGGGAAUAUUGGACAAUGGGCGAAAGCCUGAGCCAGCCAUGCCGCGUGUGUGAAGAAGGCCUUUUGGUUGUAAAGCACUUUAAGCGAGGAGGAGGCUACUUGGAUUAAUACUCUAGGAUAGUGGACGUUACUCGCAGAAUAAGCACCGGCUAACUCUGUGCCAGCCGCCGCUGUAAAAC
rnacentral:rRNA from 1 species